rnacentral:tRNA from 1 species
AAAAAUCCCGUCGACUUUUAAAAUCGUGAGGGUUCAAGGUCCCUCUAUCCCCA